UGGGGAAUUUUGGACAAUGGGCGCAAGCCUGAUCCAGCCAUUCCGCGUGCAGGACGAAGGCCUUCGGGUUGUAAACUGCUUUUGUACGGAACGAAAAGGCUCUGGCUAAUACCUGGGGCUCAUGACGGUACCGUAAGAAUAAGCACCGGCUAACUACGUGCCAGCAGCCGCGGUAAUACGUAGGGUGCAAGCGUUAAUCGGAAUUACUGGGCGUAAAGCGUGCGCAGGCGGUUAUGUAAGACAGAGGUGAAAUCCCCGGGCUCAACCUGGGAACUGCCUUUGUGACUGCAUAGCUGGAGUACGGCAGAGGGGGAUGGAAUUCCGCGUGUAGCAGUGAAAUGCGUAGAUAUGCGGAGGAACACCCAUGUCGAAGGCAAUCCCCUGGGCCUGUACUGACGCUCAUGCACGAAAGCGUGGGGA
rnacentral:rRNA from 1 species